rnacentral:siRNA from 1 species
CAAGGAAACCGUGCCGUCGUCUC